CAAGAAUGAAAGCAAUACCCGGGGGAAACGUGAACCUUGAUCCUUCUCUUUGCCAGGAGCUGUCGUGCACUUCUGCAAGUCGACCUCUCUGGUCUGUAAUCCUGGAGACAUGCACAGUUGAAUGGCCUCCCAUGAUCCUUUCCGAAAGAACAGGAAAAUCCUUCUGAAUAAGACACCAGCCUGUCUCCUCAUAACUCUGAGAGAUAGAGACAGCCAGCGAGAGAGGGAACCCACGCAGGGGGAGUGGGAGAGGAAGAAGCAGGCUCACAACGGAGGAGCCCGAUGUGGGGCUCGAUCCCACAACGCCGGGAUCACGCCCUGAGCCUAAGGCAGACGCCCAACCGCUGUGCCACCCAGGCGCCCCUCAGUUCUGUUCUUUCUGUUGUACCCCAUCUGAAAUUGAUUAAUGUCUUUUAUCCACUUUUUAAUAAUUGUUUACAGCGGGAGGGCAGUUCCUAUAGCUGUUAAAUCUUUCAUGGGUGGAGUGGACACGCUUAUAUGUUUCAUGUAUUUUGGUAUGUUUAUUUGGUUAAUGUUUGGCUUCUUAUAGUGGACUGUUGGUGGGAACCAUUUUUAUUUCUGUUUAUCAUUGUUUCUUCAUAAUAUGUCCUCAAUCAAUACUUGUUGAAAGAAAUUAUUAUUUUUAGAUAAAAAUUAAACAUUUAUUUGUAAUGAAAAA